UGGGAGUUGGUGAUGGACAGAGAGGCCUGGUGUGCUGCGAUUCAUGGGGUCGCAAAGAGUCGGACACGACUGAGUGGCUGAACUGAAUUGAACUGGGCCACUCUGGGGAGAAGCUUCCAGAAUUUCAAAGGCUCAUGUCGCUGUUUGAUCACCAGAGGGCACCAUCAGCCUGGUUUCUGGAGUCGCUGCUGCUCUGAUCAGAGAGAACUUAACAGGGAGAAGCACUUCUGAGAUCUGCCUCUUCAUUCACCUUGAAAGAUUCAUCCUUUCCCUGGCCCUGAAGAGCCAGCAUUCCAUCAGGCCUCUGGCGUCCAGCACUGUCCACAGAGCCUCUCUCUCCAGGGGGUCCCCACGGGGAUCAACACAGCCAUCAGGACCCUUCUGUUGGGUGUAUUUUUGAAUCCACCUGACCCACAAUAGGUUUAUGGAGAAGGCGCUUGUUAAGCAAACGAACACUGCAAAGAUUGCUAAGGUGUGUGAUCCAAAGCUUUUGGUCCACAACUUUUCAUUGUGUGUAAACAGACUGAAUUUAUAACUGAGUCUCAACAGGGCCAUAAAAGUUGGUCUCAGGGCCAACUUGGAUAUGCUGGUAGCCUUCACUUGGAAACGCUGGUAACUGUUAUGGUUUAGAAAAUAAUAAAAUACAUUUAGAAAAUCUGUAACUCAGACUCUCUGUUCAUUCACUCACC
rnacentral:lncRNA from 1 species